rnacentral:rRNA from 1 species
AUCAGCUAGUUGGUAGGGUAAAAGCCUACCAAGGCUAUGACGGGUAGGGGACCUGAGAGGGUGGCCCCCCACAAUGGAACUGAAACACGGUCCAUACACCUACGGGUGGCAGCAGUAGGGAAUAUUAGAAAUGGACGAAAGUCUGAUCUAGCGACACCGCGUGUGCGAAGAAGGCCUUCGGGUUGUAAAGCACUUUUAGGAAGGAAUAGGAAGGAAGGUACUUCCAGAAUAAGUCUCGGCUAACUACGUGCCAGCAGCCGCGGUAACACGUAGGAGGCAAACGUUAUCCGGAUUUACUGGGCGUAAAGCGCGUGUAGGUGGUUCUGUAAGUAGGGCGUGAAAGCUCCCGGCUCAACUGGGAGAGGCCGUUCUAAACUGCAGAGCUAGAGGAUGGUAGAGGGAGGUGGAAUUCCAGGUGUAGCGGUGGAAUGCGCAGAUAUCUGGAGGAACACCAGUGGCGAAGGCGGCCUCCUGGACCAUUCCUGACACUCAGACGCGAAAGCUAGGGUAGCAAACGGGAUUAGAGACCCCGGUAGUCCUAGCCCUAAACGAUGUAGACUAGACGUCGGCGGUGUAAAAACUGUCGGUGUCCAAGCUAACGCGAUA